UUGUGGAGGAGGACGCCGAAGGUGGGGCUAAUGACUGGGGUGAAGUCGUAACAAGGUAGCCGUACCGGAAGGUGCGGCUGGAUCACCUCCUAACAGGGAGACAACAAAAUGUUAAAUAUUAAUUUUGUCACCUUAGGUCGAUCGGUAUCUCACAUUCUUAAUCAAUUUAAGAAUUUUAUUUCCUAAGUUUUUCUAGGUCACACCCAUCAUUUUUCCUGGGCCACUAGCUCAGGUGGUUAGAGCGCACCCCUGAUAAGGGUGAGGUCCCUGGUUCAAGUCCAGGAUGGCCCAUAUCUCUAUGUUGGGGGUAUAGCUCAGUUGGUAGAGCGCCUGCUUUGCAAGCAGGAUGUCAGCGGUUCGAGUCCGCUUACCUCCACUGAUUACCACCUCCUCCAUAAGUUAUAAAAGGGAAAUUUUGAGUUGUGGUCUAAUUCUGAACGAAUCCAGCUUCCUAAUUAAACUUAAUUAAGAUGCUGGACUCAUUGAAUUAAUUUCAUUGUUUUCAGAGAACCUUGACAACUGCAUAGAUUAUUUUUAAAGACAAUAAGCAUCUUUAAUGAUGCAGAUUUAUUAUUUGUGCGAAUGCAUUAAUAACAAUUCUAUUAAGCUGAUGCUUCAAUUUUGAAGUUAUUGGUCAAGCUACAA
rnacentral:misc_RNA from 1 species